AUUGAACGCUGGCGGCACGCCUAACACAUGCAAGUCGAGCGGCAGCGAGAUCAGUAGCAAUACUGAUUGUCGGCGAGCGGCGGACGGGUGAGUAAUACGUAGGAACCUGCCCAGAAGUGGGGGAUAACUAAUGGAAACGUUAGCUAAUACCGCAUACAUUCGGGAGAAGAAAGCGGCCGGGAAAGGUGGCGCUGUUGGAGGGGCCUGCGUCCGAUUAGCUAGUUGGUGAGGUAAUGGCUCAACAAGGAGAUGAUCGGUAACUGGUCUUGGAGGACGACCAGUCACACUGGGACUGAGACACGGCCCAGACUCCUACGGGAGGCAGCAGUGGGGAAUCGUGGACAAUGGGGGCAACCCUGAUCCAGCGAUGCCGCGUGAGUGAAGAAGGCCCUCGGGUCGUAAAGCUCUUUAGGCUGGGAAGAAGUGUGGAAGAGGAAAUGCUUUUACAUUGACGGUACCAGCAGAAUAAGCACCGGCAAACUCUGUGCCAGCCGCCGCCGUAA
rnacentral:rRNA from 1 species